AGAUUUGCUCCGUGCACUACAGCCGCUAUCGUCGUGUGCGCCUUAGGUGGUGCGCGUGCAAAGGAUCCAUCCUCCGGCGAGCGGUGACGUUAAAUGCCGAUAUCUAUUACCGGAAUUUCCCUUCACACGUUGGCUGAAUGGGAUUGUGUCCGUGCCAGUGGCGCUGUAUCGGUCCGGGCCGUGCGCCGGUCGCUCCCUUUGUGACGGCGAUUCAUUCUGUUUGGCGCAUUGUCGCCGCCCGGUGCCCGGCGACGAGCCGCACCUUUUCAAGAUAGCAGAAGGCUGGCGAAGAAUAAAUCUGACAGAGGCGGUGAUAAGAUAAUCAAGCACAGUGUGCGCCUCGUCGCCAACAUUUGGCGCCGCCAAUCAGCGUCGAUUCACACGGGAAGAGUAUCCGCCGGACGGGUCCGGAUGCCGCCUCUGUCACUGGCGUGUCCGAUCGGCGGGACGGGCCGGCGGCGUUCGCGGCAGCUGCCGUCGCCUCGCUGUCUACCGCCGCCAAUAUAACACCGUCCCAACGAGGCACCGGGCCGGGGCGGGACGUGUCGCGCCGCUGACACCUGCCCCUGUCCCCGCCGGCAGCCCACGCCGAGACAUCAUCAUCAAUGGCCGGGCGCCCCCCGCCGCUGCGCAGGGCACGCCGCGGGGGACGAGCCGCCGCCGACCAGCGCGUCAAUGAGACGAUCCUUGGCGGCGGCAAUGGCGGCGCAGCGGGGCGCCGAGUGGGACAAACUCGUCGCGCGGCCGGCCCGCGAACUGUCUCUGACCGCCUCUCCGAGUCGCCGCGCGUCAAUAUUUGAACGCCAGCCGGACCGGCACCGGCGGAGCGGUACAAAGCGACCGCCGCCGUCACAGACACCGGACGGUGAGAGACUCUGCUGGGUGUCAGCGGUGGACCCGGGCUGGCCGUCUCACUAUGGGCCAGAGUCAUCACUCAGAGAAGGGAUCGGUAGCUUGGCGGCCUCCUCAAUGAUAUCUGAGCAGCGUGUAGUAUCGAUCAAAGAAAACACAAUCAACAGAAGAGAAUCGAUGUCUGCUUUACGCAGCGGCUUGCCCGACCGGCUUGUUCACCGUCUGGCUGAACAUCUGGGAAACAUCUUCGUAGAAAUCCCGAGAUGACGUCGAUCUCGUGUGCGUAGUGAUACAGGCCUCUGAGAACAGAACACGCCGACGCGACCGAACAAACACAGACAGCUGUCCGCAUCAUCGUCCUUCCGUUCACACGGCGGAGACACAAGACUAGGUAUAGAAGGACCCUGUCGUGCCGCGAUAACCAGCGCCGCAGGAACGGAUGACAUAAACCAGUGUCAACAGAUUCUGCAGAAGCAAUGUCGCCCUUAUGCGGCACAGUCGGACGCCGGAAAGCCCGCAGUCUUGGCCGGCUAGCGAAUCUGCCAAGUACAAACCACGAUGAGGCUUUUGAAGUUGCCGCCGGGUGUGUCAUAUCCCCUGAAGCCUGGCUGUAUAGCUAGCUCCCGAUGUGCUAUCGGCUAUCACAGGCGAUGGGCUGAAGCACUUUCGGGGCUUAGAGGCAGAUCACAUUGUAGACAGCCCCCUUGAAGAUCUCUUGACGACAUAGCGCUGGUGACUGCGAUGGCCGCGGAUCAUCCCGAGCCGCAUGGCUACUGAUUUUACUUUGACCCAGCCGACCGCCGCCCACGGCAGAUGCUCCGCUGCCGCCACCAUCUGCGGUCCAUCAGCUCUAUCUGUUUGCGCGGCUCUCGUGCGCUAAUCGUCGGCGCCGCGCCGUCACACACACGGUCACGGUGUCAGGCCGUGGCGGCGAUAUCUGUCGAGUGGCGCCACCGGCCGCUAUCUAGCCCAUCUGCCGGCCGUUUAUGGCCGCCACUGCACACUGUGCACAUCAUCAGACACUGAUUAGCGUAUAAUCACCGCCGCCCCCGCCCCCGCCCCCGCCCCCGCCCUGGCGGCUCUCCCGCCGAGGCGACGGUCCCCCUAACCCCGGGUAGGCCAGACGGGGAGUGGCAGACGCCGCGACCGAGGGAUUACAGGGAUGAACGGGGGCUAACCGGGCACUAUCUAACUCCGAAUGCAGUAUAUCAGCAAUGCUUUACUGCCGGGUGAUAUAAGCUCAGACUUAUCAAACGGUACCGUGCUGAAUAUGCAGCCUUUAGAACAUCCCGAGCUGCACCACUCCGAGGCCCAUUAACCGCAGUUCAAACAUGACUGCGGUUUCUCACAAGUCGGCGCAGUUCGCGGUGCGUUCCGUCCACAUAGACUGUUUUGCCGAUUCAUUCUUGGCCGCCGGCUGGCAAACUGCCGGAGGCCGCCGGCGGUCGGAGCUACGAGCUCGGGGGAGGGUCGAGACUGAAUGGAGAGCUCCUCAGGCUGUUUGAACCAGUCCAAUCAUCCUGCAUACACACCGACACACACACACACACACACGUGCGCGCGCACAGGGGAAACUGGGCCUGGCCGUCUGAGUCUGGUAGUGCGGCGUUUACAUACCUCGGUCUGCUUUGCCAGCUUCAACGCUAAGGCAGCCCCUUGACAGGUCACACUGCCAGGUGUGUUCAAAUUUACCACCAUGUCUCGAAAAAGACAGGACGGGGCAGACGAUGAGAGGGCGGAUGUUAGACUUAUCAGCGGCCCGGUCAGUGCUGAGGACAUGGAUACUGAGAAGUGAGAACUCGGAGAAGACACUCUUCAAGGACGUGUGAGUCGGCAGGAAACGGUGCCGAUUGCCUUGAGUCUUCAUUUAGCAGAAUCUCGCGGUGUUCGUCACAGACCUGACGAACCGGUGUUGUUUGUCUGGCGUCAAUAUUUGCCGAGUUUGCAUCCCUUUGUCGGUGGCUGCUGCGUAUUGCCUAUCUCCUAUACCGUCUAGCGUUUCGCUGACCUCUCCAGUGACUCUCCGUCCCUCCUUCUCCCUCAAGCCCACGCGCUCUCCCAUGUGUCUGUCUUCCUCGGCCGACGUCCGCGCGCGCCGCGCACUGUUUGUCUGUGUUUGUCGGCGUGUUUGUGUGUAUCUGUGUAUCCCAGCGAAGCCGAGAUGUUAGUCCGAAGAGCGGCAAACCGCACUGGGCUGUUGACUACCGGCUUAGAUCAUUGUUUAAUAGCGGCGCGGCGCGGGCGGCGGCGCAGCGGCGGAGGCGGCGGUGCCUCUGUGGCCUCUAUCGGUCGUGUACAUUGGUGAACAGCUCGCGUCUGCCUGUG